ensembl:lncRNA
UGGGAUGCUGCCACAGCAUGGCUUGAUGAGCGGCGUGUAGGUCUGCACCCGGGAUCUGGACCCUCGAACCCUGGGCCGCUGAAGUGGAGCGUGCAAGCUUAACCACUACACCACUAGGCUGGCCCCAAAGCAAAUGAACUUUAAAAACACAGAACGCAAGGAUUCCAGGAGAAGUAGGACUUGCUAAAAGGUGGCUGUUAGGACGAUGAUCCUUUCGCAGGAAAAGAAGCUCUGUGAGGUCAGGGGCUGUGUCUCCUUUUCCUGCUGGGUCACCAGUUCCUGGCACAUAGGACACUCUCAAGGCAGGUUUGUUGAAUGAGUGGACGUUGAUGACAUGCUCGGACCCAGGACGAAGUGGGGAUUUCUGGAUUUGGCCCCUCCAGGAAGACCUCAGUGAUGACCAAGAUUUUCUGCUCUUUAUCGUUUGUGGCGCGCUCUCGUCAUCAUCUCCUUUCAUCCUUACAGUCGCGUGUGCUGUGGCUGAAAGAAGUAGCGUUCCCACUUUCCAGAGGAGGUUGGGAGAAUUGAAGUGCUUACUUGAGGUUCCGUGGGGAGCGAUGGGGGCCGGAUCUUUUGAAUCUCACUCCAGCCCUCUUGCUGCUGCCCUCCCCACUCAGCAGACAAAGGAGUCCAGAGAUUGGUGACUGAGUUAAGCCAGGCACAGAUUCCACAUCUGGAGAGGGGACGUUUCGACUGGCCCCCGUUUCUCCACGCUGAGGACCCCAGGGCCUGGUCCUUGGACGUCUUGUCUUCCGCGACUCGUUGCCAGGUGGCCCCAUCCCUCGUCGUGGCUUUAAACCCCAGCUGUGUGCUGGCGGCCUCCACAUGGGCAGCUCCUGCCCCAGUCUCUCUCCUGGCUCCAUAUGAGCUGGAACAGCUCUGGCCCCGGGUCAGUGCGCUUGAGCGAAUGAGGGCGAGCCAUCAGCAUCUGCGUAGUUCCUGAGGCCGAGCGCAAGGCAGCACAGCUCUGCCCGGCCUGGCGACGGGCGACCCAACCCGAUGGCACAGCCCGUGCCGCCGAAACGCAGGACACGUGAAACAUAUUCAGUCUGAGCAAGAUGCAGGCUGCUCUGUGGAGACUCUGCCACCAGCCCCCUCUUGAGACGGAGGUUGAGGAGGGCAACUGGGUAGACGUGUGCCUCACCUGGACAGAAAAUGGGAGAUAAGCAGGUAACAGGUAUGGCGUAUUAACCAGGUGCCAGCAUGCCGCUAAGCUUGUCGCCUGAAUUCCCUGGUUAAGUCCUCCCACGACCCCGGGCUGGGUGCUGGUCCUAUCAUCGUUUCAAGGUGAAGGAACCGAGGCCCAUAUGGGUUGAGUGGGUUGCCCAUAAUCAUUCAAUUAACCGUCUCUCCUGCACGUCCCAUUUCACGGGGCUUGCGGUGAGGCCCCUAAACCUGCCUUUAUAAAGAGCACCUGUGGCUGCUUUUGGCCUGAGGCAGGUUGGGAAACGCCGCACUUUCUGGAAAAGUGUGGACUCAUUUUGGAAGGCGAUUCUGCUGUUCUGAGGGCUGUCCCCCACUUGCCUGCUGCAGCCCCUCAGAAGCCCUGGGGCCACUCCUGCCCCUCAGACAGGCUCCCCUCGGGCGGCCCGCAUCGCCUGGACGCUCCGGUGGAAAGCGAGCGGGUGGCAUGUGCUGGGCGUUGGUCGCAGUUCAUUUUCCUCCCUUGCAGAAGCCCCGUUUGUCUCCCACCGCGUCUGUUUGUGCUGGUUCUUAAGUUCUGAUAAUUGUGUCUUUUAUCCCUUUCCCUUCCCUCCUGUCCCACUUCUUUGCCUUUUAAAAUAUUUGAAGACUUUUUCCAUGGCUGUUAAAACCAGAAGGUAUAGAUUCCAGUAGAUUUUUACAAAAAUGCAUUACAUAAAA